GGAACAGAGUUCACAUGGCAAGAGAGAAGCCAGCGUUACUCAGUUCAGAAGGAAACGCUGCCAAAACUGCAUGAAAAACUGUUGAUUUGGAACUGUGUCAUAAAACAGAACAAGAGUAAAGGGUUGAACUGGCUGCUUCAGCCUGAAACAGCUCUCCUGGGUUGAUCCUGCUGAUUUUACUGUUGAUGGCAGAGAAAGACAAAACAAACACAAAGGCAAUGUGGCAACGAACACAGUCCUAACUGGCUUGAAUUCUUCGGCUUACUCCAGUCUUCAUUUAUCCCAACACUGGGAUACAAGGUUUCCGAGGCCACUUUUUUCUAUGAAAUUCUCCACGUUUUUUGACUUAAAGAAAAACUUUCAUCUUUCAGUAAAGAAUCCAUCCAAAUUUGAAGAAGAGGAUUAAAAAGUUCAGAUGUUAUUCCAAACGGAUGUUAAAAAAACAGCCAAACUAUCAGAAAUGAAGGACGGCAAGCAAUUAUUUGAAGCAGCUGGGUUACAAGAAGGACUUCUCACAUGUUAUUACACGCAAAGGAAUUAUGGAUUAUGGAAAGAUGAGCAAUAUAAUUAUGCUCAUGGAGUGUCACAUUAAUUUUUAAGGUGAGAUUUGUAAUAAUUUCACAAUAACUAUAAAAAUCAGAGCAAAGGUGUGGAUUUCUAAGGGUCUCCAAGGUUUAAAAUUGGUACAUGGCUUUGAUUUUGUUAAAAGGUAGUAUAGUGCCUGACAGCUUUCAGUGUUUCAAGGGGAAUGAAAUUCUACAAAUGUUGAAGACAAAAUCUAAAACUUUUCAUCUAAAAUUGUCAUUUCAUUAACU
rnacentral:lncRNA from 1 species